UUAUUAAGUCUGAAUGUGCAAAUAUAAAACCAACUUUACCUCUGUCCAAGCAAAUGAGAACACUGGGUUACAUCCAAAUGUAACACUAGCCAAGUUCAAUUGCCAUGUGUGUUCUUGCAGCAAUAUAGUCAGAAAUAUUUUAGUAACAUGCAUAACCACCUAAAAAACAGUGAUACAGUGCCUUGUAUGAAAGCUAUCUUUACUAUAAUCUUGUGUCUUAAAUCUACAGAUUGCUGCUGAAUUCAGUUGAAUCACUUCUGUCCCACUAAUUCAAACAUGUCAAAACUGGAGUUACUCCAGCAAGCUGGCCAGCAUCUCCCGUAGAUAAGAAGGAAUUGCACAGAGGGCAUAAUAUUUGGAAAGUGAUGGCUACCAUUGAUGAGAAUGAUGGAGAGCUUGCAUUCUCGGAGCAUUUUCUGUGUAUCUUAAUGAAGAUUAUGAAAACCUCAUGAAGGAGUAUACUGACACAGGCUUUGAAAACUCUGAGAGAGAGAGAGAGAGAGACAUGGCCAAUACUCUCAUUUAUAAUCUACAUCAUCAGACCUGAAGGUGCAGAAGCCUGUGACCCACCAUCAGGUGUUGGACUGAUUGUUGAGGGAGUGAAAGUGCUUCAGAACCUUGGCGAUGUCACCAAGGCGUGUGCUCUUCUUUUGGGAGUAAUAUACAGCUUGAGUCUCAGUUAUCCUUCAGACCUGAAAUACACCUGAGUUUUUCCACAAAGUGUUGCUGGGACUUGAAGAACUCAAGAGCAAACUAGGCUGAAUCAGUAUAUCAUUCUGGACAAAUGAAAGAAAUAGAGGAAGAAGCUUUUUUGUGACAUUUAAAUUGUUUUAUGGUUUUAAAAUUAAUGUGAUGUUAUCUUUGUUGACGGCACCAAAGUUUUAAAUGAAGUUCUGCAACUUUAAAUGGCUAAAUGGUUUGGUUAUUUACAAAGAUUAGAGGUCAGUUUUAAUCUUUUCUUUACUAAUGGCUCGAACGAUUUCAGAUAUCCAAAAUUGAACCCUGUAGUAGUUUGUGUCAUGCUGCCUGCCUUAAACUUUUUGCUUUUCUUUUUCCAAGUAAAAUGUAUUAUUUGCAGUUGCAUAUAGUAAAAUAACAUUUUGGUCAAUAAUAAACUUUUUUUUUUUUUCGUGUUUUUAUCUGUCUUUUUGAAACUAAAUGUUAUUUUGGUGGGGGUUGUCAUAAAGAGGCCAGUUGUAUACUUUAACAGUCGCUUAAACAUUUUAAAAUAUCAGCAAUGUUGCAUUUCAUGACAGUAUUGAAAUAAAAUGUCCUUACACAUUUUCUUUUGUAAAUUCUUAUUACAAUAUUUGAAGGAAGUAGCACAUUGUAAGAAUGUUCACUAUUGACCAAAGUGUUUU